CCAUUUUCAAUUUAUUUAAUCGGUAUAAGGAGAGUAAUCAGUUGGGAAGGUUGCCAAAUAUUGAGUAAAGAUGUAUUAAUAUAUUCCAUCUUUGUUUGCAUUAGUGAAUAAAAUGUAAAGGAUUUGUUAAGCAGCACACAACUCCGUAUGUAAAGCAAAAAAUUCAGUUGCUGCUUCAGGCAACCAUAAUAAUCAAAAAACCAAGAUUUGGGAAAUACGUGUAUUUCAAC